AAGUCUGACCUGCCCAAUGAAAGUUUCAAUGGCCGCGGUAUUUUGACCGUGCAAAGGUAGCAUAAUCAUUUGUUUUUUAAUUGAAAGCUGGAAUGAAAGGUUGAAUGAGAAAAUAACUGUCUCUAUUUAAUUUCAUUAGAAUUUUAUUUUUAAGUUAAAAAGCUUAAAUAAUUUUUGAAGACGAGAAGACCCUAUAGAGUUUAAUAUUUAUAUAGUUAAAAUAAUUUGGUAUUAAUUUUUUUUUAUUAAGUAUAUAUUUGAUUGGGGUGAUUAAAAAAUUGGAAAAACUUUUUUUAUAUAUUUACAUUGAUUAAUGNNUUAUUGAUCCUUUAGAAGAUUAGAAGACUAAAUUACCUUAGGGAUAACAGCGUAAUUUUUUUUUAGAGUUCUAAUCGAAAAAAAAGAUUGCGACCUCGAUGUUGGAUUAAA
rnacentral:rRNA from 1 species